CCGAGUUUACAACUCUCCAAACCCUGUGAACAUACCACUUGUUGCCUCGGCGGAUCAGCCGCUCUCGGUACUGACCCCCAGAGGACUCCUAACUCUGUUCUAUAUUGGAACUUCUGAAGUAAAACUAAGAAAUAAGUCA
rnacentral:misc_RNA from 1 species